UACGUAGGGGGCAAGCGUUGUCCGGAUUUAUUGGGCGUAAAGAGCGUGUAGGCGGUUUGGUAGGUCCGCUGUGAAAACUCGAGGCUCAACCUCGAGACGCCGGUGGAAACCAUCAGGCUAGAGUCCGGAAGAGGAGAGUGGAAUUCCUAGUGUAGAGGUGAAAUUCGUAGAUAUUAGGAAGAACACCGGUGGCGAAGGCGGCCCACUGGAUCGGUACUGACGCUGAGGUGCGAAAGCGUGGGGAGCAAACAGG
rnacentral:rRNA from 1 species